GGUCGGGUGGGGUCGCCAGGAGAAAGCAGCUUUGCGCCAACGUCGGGGAGGGCACCCGAAGCCGGGACCAGAAGCUCCUUGAGGAUUGGAGACCAAGUGUGGGAGAUAAUUGUUCAGCUAAUAUCCGUGGGCCAAGUCCUGUCCUUAUUAUGGUCCUGGUGCAGCUCUUCUCGUUAUCACCCCCCCUUCACCGUUCGUGAGACUGCACCCAGACAGAGUAAGUCCAGAGGACUCAGCAGAGGAAAUGAUGAAAGAGAGCGAGAAUCCACAGUGAAGACGUCACCCCCACCCCCACCCCACUCAUGGAGCUUGAGGGACUGGACAAGGAACAAAAAAGCCGCUUCUGGAGAAAAGUC